GUAAUAUGUCUCCCUGCCCACCAGGAUGCCAAAUUACACGUGGUGUGAAGCAUAUGCACCAUCCUCAGCAGCACGUACACCACCAGCCCCAAGUAAAUGAACCUCCAUAUGGUAGCAGAGAUAUGCCCAUAAGUGAUGCUAUUCCAAUAUCACCUGGUUUGCUGGAGCCUGCAAAGUCCAGGAGGACAAAACGAACCAAGGAUCCGAAGGCAGUAACAUCAACUAAGAAGGCUUCAAAGUCAUCGAAGAAGGUUAAAAGGGAGGGUGAGGACCUCAACAAAACAAUGUUUGGCAAGUCACAUGAGUGGAAGCCUGGGCAGGAAGUGGGUAGUGGCACUGAUGACCUGAACAGACAACUAGGUGUCUCGAAGCCAGACUGGAAGGAUCAGGACCUGGGUUUGAACCAGGUUGCUUUUGACGAGUCAACCAUGCCAGUGCCUGUGUGCUCCUGCACAGGAGUUCUCAGGCCAUGCUACAAGUGGGGAAAUGGAGGCUGGCAAUCAUCUUGUUGUACCACCAAUUUGUCUA
rnacentral:lncRNA from 1 species